rnacentral:rRNA from 1 species
AUUGAACGCUGGCGGCAGGCCUAACACAUGCAAGUCGAACGAGUGGCGGACGGGUGUGUAAUGUCUGGGAAACUGCCUGAUGGAGGGGGAUAACUACUGGAAACGGUAGAUAACACCGCAUACCAUCAGAUGUGCCCAUAUGGGAUGAGCUAGUAGGUUGGGUAAAGGCUCACCGAGGCGACGAUCCCUAGCUGGUCUGAGAGGAUGACCAGCCACCCUGGAACUGAGACACGGUCCAGACGCCUACGGGAGGCAGCAGUGGGGAAUAUUGCACAAUGGGCGCAAGCCUGAUGCAGCCAUGCCGCGUGUAUGAAGAAGGCCUUCGGGUUGUAAAGUACUUUCAGCUGGGAGGCGUUACCCGCAGAAGAAGCACCGGCUAACUCCGUGCCAGCAGCCGCGGUAAUAC